rnacentral:lncRNA from 1 species
CAAAGUUCAACCCAAGAAUGAAUUGGAGAGAAAAAAUAAAAAAAGACUCAACCCAAUGAGGAAAUAAACUCAACUGAGGAUUAAUUCCAACGAGAUAAUUGUCGCAUUACGCGAAAAACCGGCGGGAAAACAAAAUAAUAGAGCCGCCACCGUGCGUUAUUUAUCCCCAAAGAGGGAAAGGAAACGCUCGAAGUAAAGGAAGGAAUAUGGUUGCUAAAACACUGC